rnacentral:rRNA from 1 species
GAUCCUGGCUCAGGAUGAACGCUGGCGGCGUGCCUAACACAUGCAAGUCGAACGGAAGGUAAGCGCUUCGGAGACUUCGGUCAAUGUUUGCUUAUCUUUAGUGGCGGACGGGUGAGUAACGCGUGGAUAACCUGCCUCACACAGGGGGAUAACAGUUAGAAAUGACUGCUAAUACCGCAUAAGCGCACAGUCUCGCAUGGGACAGUGUGAAAAACCGAGGUGGCGUGAGAUGGAUCCGCGUCUGAUUAGCCAGUUGGCGGGGUAACGGCCCACCAAAGCGACGAUCAGUAGCCGGCCUGAGAGGGUGAACGGCCACAUUGGGACUGAGACACGGCCCAAACUCCUACGGGAGGCAGCAGUGGGGGAUAUUGCACAAUGGGGGAAACCCUGAUGCAGCGAACCGCCGCGUGAGUGAAGAAGUAUUUCGGUAUGUAAAGCUCUAUCAGCAGGGAAGAUAAUGACGGUACCUGACUAAGAAGCACCGGCUAAAUACGUGCCAGCAGCAGC